rnacentral:rRNA from 1 species
GCAGUCGAGCGGACCAUUGGAGCUUGCUCCUUUGGUUUAGCGGCGGACGGGUGAGUAACACGUGGGCAACCUGCCCUGCAGAUCGGGAUAACUCCGGGAAACCGGUGCUAAUACCGAAUAGUUUGCGGCCUCUCAUGAGGCUGCACGGAAAGACGGUUUCGGCUGUCACUGCAGGAUGGGCCCGCGGCGCAUUAGCUAGUUGGUGGGGUAACGGCCCACCAAGGCGACGAUGCGUAGCCGACCUGAGAGGGUGAUCGGCCACACUGGGACUGAGACACGGUCCAGACUCCUACGGGAGGCAGCAGUGGGGAAUAUUGGACAAUGGGCGAAAGCCUGAUCCAGCCAUGCCGCGUGCAGGAUGAAGGCCUUCGGGUUGUAAACUGCUUUUGUACGGAACGAAAAGCCUCUUUCUAAUAAAGAGGGGUCAUGACGGUACCGUAAGAAUAAGCACCGGCUAACUACGUGCCAGCAGCCGCGGUAAU